AACUCCCUGGCUGCCGUGAAAAGACAAGGCACUGGGCAGUGAUGAGGGUCCUUCUCCAUCUCCCAGCCCUCCUGGCUUCCCUCAUCUUGCUUCAGGCUGCAGCAUCUACCACAAGAGCGCAGACUACCAGAACCUCUGCCAUCUCCGAUACUGUGAGUCAGGCCAAGGUCCAAGUCAACAAGGCCUUCCUGGACUCCCGAACCAGGUACGUGAGACACACACACACACACACACACACACUUCCCUUCACAGGCUUCCUGUUCAUGACAAGCACAUCUAGGCCAGCCCGGAUGAGCCAAUGAGGCGAACAAUGAUAAAACUUACCCUUCCAUCCUCCUAGCCCUCCAAGUACAUGACAAGUAGGAGCAAUAGCCCACAAUUCCUAAAGUCCUCAGCCUGUACAUCACCUGAAAGAGGACAUCUAAUCUAACCCUAGAAGGACUUUCUUCCACGUGGCCCAAUGUUUCCUUGGGCCAUGCAUUCCAGAGUCCCAGAAAGCCUCUCAGUAAAAGUUCUUCAUUCAUCCAGCUGAUAUUGACUGAUUCAGCCAGGUCCACCAGAAGCCG
rnacentral:sRNA from 1 species